ACUCAAAUGAAUUGACGGGGGCCCGCACAAGCAGCGGAGCGUGUGGUUUAAUUCGAGGCUACACGAAGAACCUUACCUAGACUUGCAUGUUAGUGAACGAGGGUGAAAGCCUGAGGUUCGCAAGACACUAACACUGGUGCUGCAUGGCUGUCGUCAGCUCGUGUCGUGAGAUGUUAGGUUAAGUCCUGUAACGAGCGCAACCCCCGGAAGUAGUUACACGUUGUCUACUUCAACUGCCUGCGCAAGUGGGAGGAAGGUGGGGAUGACGUCAAGUCAGCAUGGCCUGUAUGUCUAGGGCUACACACACGCUACAAUGGUCGGUACAACAGGUUGCCAAGCCGCAAGGCGGAGCUAAUCCUCUAAAGCCGAUCUCAGUUCAGAUUGUGGGCUGCAACCCGCCCACAUGAAGUCGGAGUUGCUAGUAACCGUGCGUCAGCUAUAGCGCGGUGAAUACGUUCCCGGGCCUUGUACACACCGCCCGU
rnacentral:rRNA from 1 species